AUCCCCUGGCAAUAGGCAAAGAGACACCUUGUUGUUGCUGAUGUUCUUUCUAAGUUAGGAGCAGAGCAGAUGGCAGUCCUUUGUUCAUUCUAGUUUGAUGUCUGGCUUGGUGGCCAAAGCUGUUUUAUGUCUAGGAUUCAUAA